AGAGUUUGAUCCUGGCUCAGGACGAACGUUGGCGGCGUGCUUAACACAUGCAAGUCGAGCGGUUGAGAGGUGGGAGGUGAGAGGUUAGAAGUGGGAGAAAGAGAAAGAAAGAAUUCGCUUUAGUCGAAUUCUAAUCUAAAGUUCUCACAUCCAACAUCUCACAUCUCACUUCUCAAUAGCGGCGGACGGGUGAGUAACGCGUGGAUAAUCUGCCUGUAAGACAGGGAUAACGCCGGGAAACCGGUGCUAAUACCCGAUAACCUCUUUGGAUCGCAUGGUUUGAAGAGAAAACAAUGCUACCACUUACAGAUGAAUCCGCGUCCCAUUAGCCAGUUGGUGGGGUAAAGGCCUACCAAAGCGACGAUGGGUAGCCGGCCUGAGAGGGUGACCGGCCACACUGGAACUGAGAUACGGUCCAGACUCCUACGGGAGGCAGCAGUGGGGAAUCUUCCGCAAUGGGCGAAAGCCUGACGGAGCAACGCCGCGUGAGCGAAGAAGGUCUUCGGAUUGUAAAGCUCUUUUAUUAGGGAAAAAGGCAAUCGUGCUAACACCACGGUAAGCCACGGCUAACUACGUGCCAGCAGCCGCGGUAAUACGUAGGUGGCAAGCGUUAUCCGGAAUUAUUGGGCGUAAAGGGUGCGUAGGCGGUUUAUUAAGUCUAUGGUGAAAGUGCGGGGCUCAACCUGGGAAGUGCAUUGGAAACUGGGGAACUUGAAUACGGGAGAGGGUAGUGGAAUUCCUGGUGUAGCGGUGAAAUGUGUAGAUAUCAGGAGGAACACCCGUGGCGAAGGCGGGUUGCUGGACCAAAACUGACGCUGAGACGCGAAAGCGUGGGUAGCAAACAGGAUUAGAUACCCUGGUAGUCCACGCUGUAAACGAUGAGUGCUAGGUGUAGGGGGUAUCGACUCCCUCUGUGCCGCAGUUAACGCAUUAAGCACUCCGCCUGGGGAGUACGGCCGCAAGGUUAAAACUCAAAGGAAUUGACGGGGGCCCGCACAAGCGGUGGAGUAUGUGGUUUAAUUCGACGCAACGCGAAGAACCUUACCAAGGCUUGACAUCCUGUGACAGCUAUAGAAAUAUAGACUUCUUAGUUUACUAAGACACAGAGACGUGGUGCAUGGUUGUCGUCAGCUCGUGUCGUGAGAUGUUGGGUUAAGUCCCGCAACGAGCGCAACCCUUGUUGCUAGUUACUAACAGGUCAAGCUGAGCACUCUAGCGAGACUGCCGGUGAUAAACCGGAGGAAGGUGGGGAUGACGUCAAAUCAUCAUGCCCCUUAUGUUCUGGGCUACACACGUGCUACAAUGGCCGGUACAGACGGAAGCGAAGCCGCGAGGUGAAAGCCAAACCGAGAAAGCCGGUCUCAGUUCGGAUUGCAGGCUGCAACUCGCCUGCAUGAAGUCGGAAUCGCUAGUAAUCGCAGGUCAGCAUACUGCGGUGAAUACGUUCCCGGGCCUUGUACACACCGCCCG
rnacentral:rRNA from 1 species